rnacentral:rRNA from 1 species
GACGUAGGGCGCGAGCGUUGUCCGGAUUUAUUGGGCGUAAAGAGCUCGUAGGCGGUUUGUUGCGUCGGCUGUGAAAUCCCGAGGCUCAACCUCGGGUCUGCAGUCGAUACGAGCAAACUAGAGUGUUGCAGGGGAGACUGGAAUUCCUGGUGUAGCGGUGAAAUGCGCAGAUAUCAGGAGGAACACCGGUGGCGAAGGCGGGUCUCUGGGCAUUACCUGACGCUGAGGAGCGAAAGCGUGGGGAGCAAACAGG